AUGGCGGCCUACCACGGGAACAUCGCCCACAUGAAGAGACUUGCGGCGACGGCAUUGGACUUGGAUGGGGUGGGAAUCCCGGCCGCUGUAGCCAGAACAAGGUUUUUGGGCAUGAACGCCCUUCACGCUGUUAGCGGUGCCAUCAGCAUGUUACCUCCCUUCCAGUAUCUGGUAGAGGAGGUUAACAUGGACGUCAACUGCCCUGACGAUAUGGGUCGUACUCCACUGGAGCAUGCCGUUACCCGUGGGCACCUUAGUAUUGUAAGGUAUCUACUUGAUCAUGGUGCUGACCUGCACCAACAAUGUUCAAGCAGAAAGGGAACUGUCCUUCAUCGAGCCGCAGAGAAUGGGCGCACUGAAAUAGCGAAGUAUCUCAUUUCUAGAGGAGCUCAAGUUAACAUGGAAGGAGAUUUUGGGACAUCACUUGCCCUUGCCGCUGGUGGGGGAUAUACUAGUACUGUCAAGAUCCUUUUGGAGCAUAAUGCGGAUCCCAACAAGGCCAAGAAGCAUUGUUUUCUACCUUUAUGCCUUGCACUAAAUAACAGCUCCAUGGCCUGUGUGAAGCUAUUGAUUCAGGCUGGAGCUGAUGUUGAUGGAUUUGGGCCUUGUCACAAUCCUUUGGCAACCUCUGUAGAGAAAGGCUUGACUGAAGCUCUUAAGUGCCUGUUGGAAGCUGGUGCAAAUCCAAAUGUUCCUGACACUUUUGGUAGAUUGCCAAUAGAGUUGGCUGCUCAGUAUGGCACACGAGAGGAUGUUGAGAUUCUCUUUAAUUUCACCUCUCCCAUUCCACCAGUGGUAAAUUGGAGUGUUGAUGGAAUUAUUAGGCAUGUGCAGAUGGAAAUCAAGCAGCUACAGGAUGAUGGUUUUGUUGAAAGGGUAUUGUCCAACCUGAAACGACAAGGGGAUGAAGCAUUUAAGAAGCAGGAUUAUCUAAAUGCAUCAGUGUACUACACACAGGCAUUGAAGGUUGAUAAUUUUGACACUGAGAUGUUAAAAAGGAGGAGUCUUUGCUGGGAUCGUAUUAGUGAUGAAGAGAACACUGAUGAUUUGGAGAAAAGAUACAAAAUGAUGUUUCGGAAGUGGUCAAAUGUGUACUGCAGGCAAGGGGCGGCCUUAAUAUUCCUGAAGGAUGAAGUCACAAGUAGGGCACCCCUUCUUUUCAGCAGGCCUCCCCCAUUAGGGAGUGGACAAAUCUCAAUAAUGAGUCUUUCCACAAACGAGACAUCAACUAUCAGUGGCCCAGAAUAUAAUGAUGCGUCAUGUUAUCACUCUUCGGAUGGCUGGCUAUUCAUGGUUUCCUGGAUGUCUGAUGUGGAGGCAAAACCCUAUUUGCUCAAACCACAGACUGGCCAAUGCAUUGACUUGCCUGUCAUACCGACCAAGUGUGUCGGUCCAACGGUAUUCUCUACAAUCUCAGGAGUUCCAGAUGUAGUGGUUUGUUUUGAUUCCAAAUCAGAUUACCCUUGCCUUCGUAUCAAAUAUUCUCAUGUUAAAGAAUGGAAAGCUUUUGAAUAUCCUAAAAAGUCUGAGUGUGGGGUGUUCAAAUAUGGGGCGAUAAUUGGAGAUGAGGUGUAUUACAUAGACGUUAUGGGCAAAGUUAUACUAUUUCGUCUCUUAGAACAUAACUGGAGUCUGUUGUGUGAAGAUGGCUGGGGAAGAAAAGGAGUUGGCCGCGGAACACAGUUCUUCCUUACAGCUGAAAGGGACAUUGUGAGGGUACACUGCCCACCACCUUGCUAUGAGAAAUUCUGUUUCAGCAAGUUUGAUCAAAGCCAGAAAAUAUGGAUUUCAUUAACUGAGAAUGAGUUAGAAAAUACAAGUUGGUUUCUCUCAUCUGGUGUGAGUGGCCAGAGAUGUUUUAGGGUGAGAGGGCUGGAUGGGAAGAAGGUGUAUUUGCUCUCUCCGAAUGAUGAAAAGAAAGCAGGCAAUCGGAAGGGCGCCAAUAGGGUUCUUCGGCCCCUUCCAGCAAUCCAAGAAGGAAACAUCUAUGUUCAUGAUCUCGAUUCCGGUACAACAGAGUCUCUUCUCUCGGAGCCAUUCAUGACAGUUUCGCAGUUUUGGAUACAUUCUGAGUGCUUCCAGUCGCCAGCGGCAAUGCCUCGACGCACCGUUGCCUGCGGUAGUCACCUCGACGGUCGGCCGUCGACCGCAUCCUCUUCGACACCGGCCGAAAAGCUGGACCCUGAUGCAGGGACAGGGGUCAUGCUGGCAUGCUAA
rnacentral:rRNA from 1 species